rnacentral:rRNA from 1 species
CCUACGGGAGGCUGCAGUGAGGAAUAUUGGUCAAUGGACGCGAGCCUGAACCAGCCAAGUAGCGUGAAGGAUGACUGCCCUACGGGUUGUAAACUUCUUUUAUAAAGGAAUAAAGUGAGGCACGUGUGCCUUUUUGUAUGUACUUUAUGAAUAAGGAUCGGCUAACUCCGUGCCAGCAGCCGCGGUAAUACGGAGGAUCCGAGCGUUAUCCGGAUUUAUUGGGUUUAAAGGGAGCGUAGGUGGGUUGUUAAGUCAGUUGUGAAAGUUUGGGGCUCAACCGUGAAAUUGCAGUUGAUACUGGCAGCCUGGAGAACAGUUGAGGUAGGCGGAAUGCGUGGUGUAGCGGUGAAAUGCUUAGAUAUCACGCAGAACUCCGAUUGCGAAGGCAGCCUACUAAACUGCGACUGACGUUGAGGCACGAAAGUGUGGGUAGCAAACAGGAUUAGAUACCCUUGUAGUC